GAUGAAGAACGCAGCGAAAUGCGAUAAGUAAUGUGAAUUGCAGAAUUCAGUGAAUCAUCGAAUCUUUGAACGCACAUUGCGCCCGCCAGUAUUCUGGCGGGCAUGCCUGUCUGAGCGUCAUUUCAACCCUCAUGCCCUAGGGCGUGGUGUUGGGGAUCGGCCAAAGCCCGCGAGGGACGGCCGGCCCCUAAAUCUAGUGGCGGACCCGUCGUGGCCUCCUCUGCGAAGUAGUGAUAUUCCGCAUCGGAGAGCGACGAGCCCCUGCCGUUAAACCCCCAACUUUCCAAGGUUGACCUCAGAUCAGGUAGGAAUACCCGCUGAACUUAAGCAUAUCAAUAAGCGGAGGA
rnacentral:misc_RNA from 1 species